rnacentral:rRNA from 1 species
AACGAACGCUGGCGGCGUGGCUAAGACAUGCAAGUCGAACGAAUCGGCCAAUUGAGUAAUCGAGAGGCCGGUUAGUGGCGUAAGGGUGAGUAAUGGAUAGGUAAUGUACCCUGUGCUUCGGAAUAGCGCCGUUCGCCUUCGGGCGAACUACCGAAAGGGGCGGUAAUACCGAAAAUAUCAUUUGUCGAUGGACAAAUGUUCAAAGAUUUAUCGGCGCAGGAGCAGCCUAUCUCCUAUCAGCUUGUUGGUGAGGUAAUGGCCCACCAAGGCUAUGACGGGUAGCGGGACUGAGAGGUUGGCCCGCCACAUCGGGACUGAGACACUGCCCGGACCUCCACGGAGGGCUGCAGUAACGAAUAUUGUGCAAUGGGCGAAAGCCUGACACAGCGACGCCGCGUGUAGGAGGAAGUCCUUCGGGAUGUAAACUACUGUCAGGGGGAAGAAAGUGCGCUUCGGCGCAUUGAUCUAACCCAGAGGAAGUCACGGCUAACUUCGUGCCAGCAGCCGCGGUAAGACGAAGGUGGCAAGCGUUGUUCGGUGUCACUGGGCUUAAAGAGUGUGUAGGCGGAAAAGUAAGCGUCGUGUGAAAGCCCCCGGCUUAACCGGGGAAUGGCUCGAUGAACUGCUUUUCUUGAGGCAAGUAGGGGUGCAUGGAACUCUUGGUGGAGCGGUGGAAUGCGUAGAUAUCAAGAGGAACGCCGGUGGUGAAAACGGUGCACUGGGCUUGGCCUGACGCUGAGACACGAAAGCGUGGGGAGCGAACGGGAUUGGAUACCCCGGUAGUCCACGCCGUAAACAAUGUCUACUAGGUUGUGGGAGUUCUGACACUGCCACGGCCGAAGCAAAAGUGUUAAGUAGACCGCCUGGGGAGACGGUCGCAAGGCU